rnacentral:tRNA from 1 species
GGCCUUAUAUUCAUGUUAUGAUUAUAGAAUGCAAUUCUGUAGGAGUAGUUAAAGAACUACUAAGGCUU